GCAAGCUGUACUUGUACAGCGAAGUGGUUGAUGCCAUGCUUCCAGGAAAAGCCUCUAAGCUUCAGGUAACUAGGAACCGUACCCCAAACCGACACAGGUGGUUGGGUAGAGAAUACCAAGGCGCUUGAGAGAACUCGGGUGAAGGAACUAGGCAAAAUGGUGCCGUAACUUCGGGAGAAGGCACGCUGAUAUGUAGGUGA
rnacentral:rRNA from 1 species